UAAUCGCCGACGCCUACACUCCAUCCAUCUUGAUGUCUCCGUCGGUUCCAUCCCUUUCUCACUCGCUCAGGAGCUUCUUCCUCUUCCGACUCCGUCGCUUCCCCUCCCCUUCUCACUCGCUCACCUCUUCCUCUUCCGACGGUGAGCAUCGCCCUACCAAUCCUGGACGCCACCAUAGUCCUUCCCUGCUCCAUCUCUCCAUCCUCCAGUGCCCCUCCUCUCUCACCCCUCGGCUAUGCUGGAUGCCGGUCGCGCCAGGCUGCCUGCUGGUGAAGGAACGGCCGAAUCUGGCCAAGGGAUAGAGCUCGGGGGUGAAGGAAUGGCCGAAUCCACCGAAGGGUCAACCAGAUGCAGCGAAGGGAGGACCAUAUCUACAAUCCCUCGUUCGAGCGCGACGCGUGCGGCGUUGGGUUUGUCGCUGAGCUUUCUGGCGAUUACAAGCGCGCGACUGUUAAUGAUGCUAUUGAGAUGCUUGAGAGAAUGGCACACCGUGGUGCCUGUGGCUGUGAGAAGAACACAGGAGACGGUGCCGGCAUCAUGGUCGCUCUACCACAUGACUUCUUCAAAGAGGUCACAAAGGAUGCUGGGUUUGAGCUACCGCCACCAGGCGAGUAUGCUGUUGGAAUGUUAUUUAUGCCAACCGAUGAAAAGCGUCGUGAGAAGGGCAAAGCUGAGUUUAAGAAGGUCGCGGAAUCACUGGGACAUGUAAUACUCGGGUGGCGUCCAGUUCCAACUGAUAACUCAGACCUGGGUGAAUCUGCACUGGAGACAGAGCCAGUCAUUGAGCAGGUUUUUAUUACCAAGAGUUCAAGAUCAGAGGCUGAGUUUGAGCAACAGCUAUAUAUCCUUAGGAGACUCUCAAUCAUCUCCGUCCGAGCAGCUCUGAACAUUAAGCGUGGAGGAGAGAGGGAUUUCUACAUGUGUUCUCUGUCUUCAAGAGUCCAGCUGCAGUUCUGCUAUGGCCGACUGCUAUGCCCGACUCGUCAGGAUGUGACCUCCGAUUAGGUGGUGGGCUACGUUACACCGAUACGCCGGCCAACUGCCGUACCGGUAUCGCGAUACGUAUCCGAUACCGAUACUUCCCGAUAUGCUUCCGAUACGUAUCGGAGAAGUAUCAGAAAAAAAGACAAAUAUGAUUAAUUUCGAUACUUCUCAAUACACCUCCGAUACGUAUUUGGGAAGUAUCGGUGCUGCAGUCUGAGCAAUGGCAGACCGGACCUAUCGAGGAAGGGAGAGGGAGUAUGCAGAGCAAGGUGGGAGGGUGUGCGGCUCCACAUCUUCGGUAGGGAUUCAUUCAUGGACGGCAGCUUGGCAGCUUGGGGGCUCCAUCGAAGAAGAAAGGAAGGUGUGAGGAUGCAUGAGCACUGCACAAACAGCUUGAGAUAGGCGGCGGCGGCGGCGGCCAGCAUCACGAGAAUCAGUUUAUAUAAGGUUUAUUUGCAGACAUACAGUUGUUGGUUGGGUACUUUCUUGCUGGGUGUGACUUUCCAAGAGUGCAGAAAUGAGCGAUUUGCAGAAUCGCACUCCAUUUGGUUUGAGAAGAUUCUGGGCAAUUUGCAG